ACGAACAAACAUGUCUAUACAUCAAGUGGAUUGUGCUUUUCUUUUUCCCCCCGCCGUUUUUCUCCCGCUUGGAACUGAAGUCCAGAAGCCUUUGGCAUUGCUGAAGGUGACGCGUCUCUGAUAACCAGCCUGCUGAACGCGCCUUGGCGGCACGUGAGCUCGCCUGCCUGAUGAUUUAGGCUCAUAAUCACCGCCGGCAUACAAAUGAAUCGCCAGGCAGUAGCUGCAGUCAGGAUAUUUUCCCAAAAUUCCCAUGAGCAUGAAGAGGCCGGUGCAUCCUGGACAAAAGCCAUCCCUUCCUGUGGCUGACCCUGGGCUUGCCGAAACCAGAGUCCCCAGCAAAGCAGGGGAGAAGAGCCUGUCGUUCAGGAGCUGUGAGCAGACAGCAGACUGGAGACGUGGCAUUGAACCUCACACGAUAAGUGGCAAGGACCCCAGCCAACAUCUGCGUCCCGUCGGGCCCCAGGACUCUGAACCACGGCCCGACAUCGCCGGCGUGACCUCACGGCUGCGGCCGCAGUUCCGUUCGGAUGACACUUGACCUCCCCUCUAAUGAUGCGAUUAAAAGCCCGCAGGUCGGUCGGUGAGGUCGGAGCUGUCUCCUUACACGGCGUGCCUCGCGGGGGGGCCGUGACGGAACCCCGGCAUGAUGGCGGCCACGUGCGGGACUGAAAUGUAUCGUGUUCCGACCCCACACUGCAGCACCGUGGCAGGACUCUCAAACGUUCACGCUGUACCGGGAACAUCCUGUCUGUGACUCUCUGUUAGACUGACUGUCACGUCCAGCCUGUGUGAACUGGAGGCAAUGAAACCAGUAUAACUUUCAGGGAUUUUAGCUCCCAUGCUGGCCUACAUACACCUGACUGUCAAUGCAAUUCGCCAUUCUCUGUAGAACGUUUCCAUCAGAAAUACACUCUGUCACUCAAAGCUAUAUAUUCUGAACUACAUGUGCUUCUUCAAGAUAAAUGCACUCCAGUGUAUUACAUUGUGCUGAAGUGGACGCAAAAAGAGCCCCACUGCAUUUUAAAACCCUCGUUCUGUGGCGAUCCCCUUAAAAAAUUAAUGAAACGACACGUAGCCUUUUUAUUAUGAUCCACGAUUCCCUAAUCUUGAAGCGAUAGAAAGCCAAUCACAUAACAGCAAGCCUCCACACGUGGCCAUUAGUCAUCAUGUCUUCGACACUUCACGAGAAUUGGGUCAUUUUUUCAAAUUAAAAACAGCUGUUUGUAAAUAAACACCCGCAGACUGAAGACGAACUGCUCUCUUACUUUGAUGUAUGGAGAAAUUAGGAAGCAGUGCCUUUGAUAUAGCGAUCAUGUGCAGUGGGAGCCUUGUGUCACUCCUCGGGGUCAAAGGUCACAGGAACGGAGUGGCUGACCUGGCGAUGCCCAGUGUUUGACCUUGGGGUUGCUGGUUAGAAUUCUCUUUUCUUCUUCCACCACUAUCAUUUCAUGAAGAUGCUGCAGUGCCGGCAGUGUGCUGACAGGGACUAAGGAGGAACCAAAAUUUCGAUCCCCCCGCCUAGAUCUGCUUUUCUGCUUCGUUUGGUUGCAGAGCUUGUGUUGUUUAUGGACAUUCUGGGUGAUUACAUAUAGGUGUGGCGCGUGCCGAGAGACCCUGAACGACCCCUGAAGACUUUAACUGUUCUUUGGCUGCCUGCAGAAACAUCUGAAGGGAAAAUAUGCUGAGGUGUGGAUUUGUGAAGCUGCUGUUCAACAUUUAAGUAGACUGUUUUCUCAUGGUUAUAUGUCACUCUUCGGGGCUUUGGUGUGCAGUUGCCCAACUCUAAUUAGAUACUUUUAUUGGCUUGGACGCGGCUCAAGGACCUUGUUUUGGGCACGUGUCCAGCUUCUUGGCCGCUGCACUACCUAUGGCAGCCGCCUUGGCUGUGGGAACCGUAAUCUUAUUAUACAAGGGUCUCGCGGUCUUUAGGCUGUUAGAUUCCCAUUUGUAAAUAAGCCUAAGAUGUACAGAAACUCAACAACGCCGGAUGUGCUCUUGCAGGCAGCCGGGGGGCGCUGUGGAGUGACCGAGUAUCCUGGCGGCUCCUCGGAAAACGGAGCCGAACUUAUUUCCACAUCCCGCGACAAGUACGGAGAGCAGAAGAGGGUAAUUAUAGGGCGACCGCGGUGCUUCGCUAAAUCGGAGGGGAUCACUCGAGGGGAGGCCUAAGUGAGGGUGGCAGCUCUCACUCCCGCGGUCAUUAUGGAGGAGAGAGGUGAGGACCGGGGAGCUGGAAGCGUUCCGUGGCGGCUGUGAGAGACGCUCUGCGCUCGUGCCAGUCGUGCCGCCGUCCUGAUGAUUCUGCUAACCUUGAUGGUCCUGAAUAUCACGCGGAGCCUCUAUCUUAAGGUCUCUGUGCCUAAAAAGGAAGACGUACAAGGCCUGUCUGUGCUCAUCACUGGGCUUUGGCACGAAUGAAAUCAUUUAUAUUUGCACAGUGCACAGAUUAACCAAACCAGCUGUCAAACAUUGUCUCCCUGUGCAAGAAAAAAAAAUAUACACACAAACACACACACACACAUAUACAGGAAAGUGUUUAAAUCUCUGUUAAAGGGCAUCUUUAUCACCUAGCUCCCAUAUGGAAUAGGUAGGCCUUACCUCCCAUCUGCAGGCGCACAGUAUGUGAGUCACAUCAUCGGUGGAAGGCUGCUCUGAUUGGUCGACUUUCAGCUACUGCAGAGUGACAGCAGGAUGCCGGCCUGCCACGGAUACUCUCUCAAAGCGGGCCUCGCUUUCAUGAUGGUGGCUCGUUGCGGCUUUAGGAAUGAAGGCGCCGUUCAGAGGCUGUUUAUCACCUGCCGCUGCCCAUUACUCAGGUGGUACCUGUGCUCCAGCGGCUACACAGAUGGACGGGUGAGGGGGGGACAUCCUGCUGGGGAUCCACGACUGAUGGUCUUUGCGGUGGCGAGACUGAUACAGGCUCACACUUCUGGGUAAGUGCAUGGGUGCCGCAUUGCAUGCACCUGCAUGUCUGUGUGCUCCCUUGCGUGAGGCAUUUCCGCGUGCGGCAUCGCAGUGUAGCUCAUGUUUUGUUUAGGCGUGUUUUUACCGUGUUCGUGUAGGUAUGACACGCGUACAUGUGUUGUUUCAGUGGGCGUGUGGAGGCUUCUUAUGUGUCUCCGCAACAAAUUUGUUUGCCGUUCAAGGCAUUUGUGCGCACAUGCAUUGUGAGUGCUGGGUGCCUAUGCAUGUUUACUGUGAAUCUCUGACAACUGGUUUGUGAUGCACACCAAGGUGACCUUUGGUGACCCUUCUUACACGUUGGGCCUUUCAGAUUUACUUAUACUUCAGAAUUUGUUGUCAGGAAGCCCUAAAGCAGGCAGUCUUAUAUCCUUACCGGAAAAUGUCAAUGCCCAGAUUUCAGUGCUAUUUUUACUAAAAUAAAGUUAGGGCCUCUAACCACUAGCUCUAUAUAGUCAGCUAUUUCUCAACUUUUUCUUUUCCUUUUCAGUUUUCCCAGUGUACCACACACCGAAUAGACGGUAUCUUUAAAGUGCAGAAUGCGUACAAAAUGUCCAAUUUGUCUGGCUAAGCAAAUAAUUGCCUCAAUUAAUUAAGCAAGUCCUGGGUGACUGGAGGUGCAGAUUCCAUUAACAUCUGCAGAAAGGACAUUCCACCACUAGAGGGCACCGUGCAGGUGACCUUGAUGCCCGUGUCCGUCAGGCCCGUGGUACUUCAUAUUCGUUGGGGAGUGCUAUAGAAAGUGUCAGCUCGGAAGUUUGCUGGGUUUUAUGUACAUCUGCCAUCAUUAUCCACUGAGCAGCUAAUGGCUCCUGAAAACAGGCGCUAUUUUCAUGAAACACCAAGGUGCAUUUCCGGAGAUGUUGCCGGAUUCAGUAUAAGACAGGGAUAAGCAAGAAGGGUAAGGUGAAGGUUAACCGGCGGAAAAGUAGAUUGUGAUUCUCAUUUCUGCCACUUGAUGUCCAAACCCCUGCAAAACCAAUUUUUUCUUUAUUCAUCUGUGUUUCUCGGUCUGGAUUAAGGUUGACUAAUAACCGAGCUGAGAUACUCACACCUUAUUAUCCGAACUGCCAAUGGCAGGGAAUUAGAGCUGGAAACCACUGACCUGAAAUCGCUCCAGUGACCCAAGGAUAUGAGCCGCUGCACAACAGCCGGAAAAGGAUUAAGGCCGGCCAGCCUGCUGCCUUAGCGUCCGCAUGCAAAGACCCCCUCUAGUGGCCACUGGCAGAAUUUCAGCUUCUAGGAUGCAUUGCUUAGAUUUGUUUUUUAUUUAUAUAGAUGUGUUUUUUUCUGUAAAUAUAUGCCCAAGAGGUGUGAGUGAAUCCUGGAUGCGGUGGACAUAAUUGCUGUUUGCAGAUUAAAAUGAGAUCCUUGGAUUCUGAGGUAUUUGAAAACCGAGUAUAGCUUCUAGUUUAAUGCAGGCUGCUAACAGCUAGCCGCAGUUAACAAUGCAAUUGUUUGCUGGUUGUUAACAAAACAAUUUAAGGGAGCUAUACGUGCUAGGUUACACGCUAGCUACGGUUCAGUAUGCAUUUCACUGAAAUUUCCUGCAUUAUACUUUUUCGGCCGGAAAUCGGAAUCCCUUGCUUUCUGGAAAGGCUUAUGUGCCUUGAAGGCGGCCGUGACAUUGCGCUGAUCCAAUCGUUCCGUACCGCUCCCUCACGGCGAGGUCCGAUCUACUGGACUGAUCCUGUAGACAGUUCAUUUAAAGACUAGAACGACCGCAAUAACAAAACCAAUAAAAUCAGGGCGCAAAACAAAAGGUAAAACAUCGUACUAUGAAAACAGAAGCAGAACAAGGAGCUUUGCAUGUCGUUACUGUGCACGGAGAUGCAUGCCGCUUCGUCCUUUGACCGUUCUUGAAUGUUAUAUAUGGUUGGCAAGCAGUCAAUUCCGCCCCCAUUAUGGUAAGGCGCAUUUCUGCAAGCACCCUCUCCGUGACUUGGGCUGGGGGGGGGCUGUCCAGAUUGCCGGUGGACUUCUCUUCUUCCCCAUAUUCAGGCUGCUGACAGUGGUGCUGAGCAAUGUGAAACGCUUCAUCUUUCUUACAUCCCCCCCCCCCAUGUGUCAACAGCCCAGCCCAAAGGGGGUAACCCCCUCAAAAUGAUUAUAUAGACCGGCCCAGCCCCCCACGCCCAUUCGUCUUCAUCCACCCCCUGCACCAAGCAGCGCAGCGUCUGCGCCGAGGUGACGGAUGUCCGUGAUGAGCCGGCCAGGAGCCCCAAAACUCAUUUCAUUUGUGACCCAAACUGGGUGUUAAUCCCAGACCUGCACCAGUAAAGGUGUGAGAGGCUUGAUGAAUUGACUUUCAGUGGUUCAUGCCUGCCGGUAUCGCCAUGUCUUCCAGAGGAACCGAGAGGGAGAAAGCAAGAGAGAGAG